rnacentral:rRNA from 1 species
GACGAACGCUGGCGGCGUGCCUAAUACAUGCAAGUAGAACGCUGAAGAGAGGAGCUUGCUCUUCUUGGAUGAGUUGCGAACGGGUGAGUAACGCGUAGGUAACCUGCCUUGUAGCGGGGGAUAACUAUUGGAAACGAUAGCUAAUACCGCAUAACAAUGGAUGACACAUGUCAUUUAUUUGAAAGGGGCAAUUGCUCCACUACAAGAUGGACCUGCGUUGUAUUAGCUAGUAGGUGAGGUAAUGGCUCACCUUGGCGACGAUACAUAGCCGACCUGAGAGGGUGAUCGGCCACACUGGGACUGAGACACGGCCCAGACUCCUACGGGAGGCAGCAGUAGGGAAUCUUCGGCAAUGGGGGCAACCCUGACCGAGCAACGCCGCGUGAGUGAAGAAGGUUUUCGGAUCGUAAAGCCCUGUUGUAAGUCAAGAACGGGUGUGAGAGUGGAAAGUUCACACUGUGACGGUAGCUUACCAGAAAGGGACGGCUAACUACGUG